UGGAUUUUGAAGGCGUCGUGUGGUUCUAGGAACAAUGGCUCUCGGUGGUGCAACGGAGGUGUUACUUGGAGAUGUUCAGAUACAAAGGAAAAUUCCAAAAUCCGUGAGGGAGUAUAUGCUGGGAAAUUACUUGGUUGGAACCUGACCACCUUACCCAGUAUCCUGGGAGUUGAUGAAUACUAACGAAUCUAUGAAUGUCACUGACAGGCAACGUCAUUUUUAAAUGAGGGGUCGCUGUCUUUCCAUUGAAAGAGGCCAGUUUGCUGUAACCUUCCUAAGAUGAAACGCAUUUCUGGCUAAUACCACCAGAUUUACUUGUAUGAAAAAUCGAUAAGGAAAAGACUUCAUUUUACUGACAUGGGAAGAAAACCGACAAAUCAAGACUUUUUUUGUAAACAGAUUAUGAAGCAGCAUCAAAUUUAGAUUAAUGUAUUUACAAGAUUUAGGCCAUUGUCUUUUGUUUAUGUCAUACUGCCUUAGAGAGUCAUAACCUGUUAAGCAGAUUACUUUGUGGAUCUGUUUUUAUUCUAAACACAAGAGUGCAUAGGAAACUACAAGUUUUUGAUGUAGAAGUCUUUGUUAACCAGACUUGUAAUUAGCUUGUGAAUGUUUCACCUUUGGUCACCUGUUUUAAAUUUAAAAUGCACAAUUGUAAUUAAAGCUGAGUGAAAAUGUAAACUGAAUAUUGUGGGAAAAGUCCUUAAGUUUUUAUGGAGGGGUGACUCAUUUUGGCAGUUACCACAGAAGGAUCAUGUUGGCUUUUGGUAGCGUACUAAAUAUUACUGGAUUAACGGUAAGCAGAAAGAAAGUCUGGAUCUGUUACUGGGGGAGCGGAAAAUACCAGGUAUUGGUGAUUUUGAUUACUGAAUUCCGGAAUAUUUGGUCCCAGUGAAUUAUAAUUUGAAAGGAUGCUUAAGAUGUAAAGUGUGAGGGGUACCUGAGUGGCUCAGUCAGUUAAGCAUCUCCACUCCAUGCUGAGCAUGAAACCUACUUUAAAUACCGAUGGGAAAAUGUGGAAUGCUGAAAAUGAAGAGAGCACAGCCUGACAAUGGGUCAUGGGGGGGUUUGCUGAUAAGAUCAAACCUAGCAUUGAAUGGAUUUAGCAUAGACAGUAAUAGCAUCUGAUCUAACCAAGAUGGUUUGGCCCUGUGCAUGAUCAUUUUCCCUAAAUAGCUGCAUGAAUAAAUUGUUGCUAAGCUUA